AAAUGAUACACAAUAUGUCAGUGACAUCCAUCAAACGUGUUGUUAAAAGCCCUUUUAAGAAAGAAAACAGGUGCUCACAUAAAGCCAAUUCUUAUUCAUCUUGUGAUCAUUGUCGAUCAUGACCUUAGGGUUAAUUUCGAAUUCUAAGCGUAGCAGUUUUUAUAUUUUCUCGUAAGUUUAUAGUUUGUUGACAAACAAUAUAAACCUUUGGUUCCAGUAUCAACCAGGAGGAGCCCAUGGCGCUCCUCCUAACAAUCUUAUUGGCAGUUUGCUGUUCUUUAGAGCAUGUAUUCUGUGCCUAUAUUGGAAUAAACUUCAAUGAUAAUCGAGCGAUAAAAGACAGUGAAUUCGACAGGUCCCUUGUGCCAAUGAUUCGGCUACCUCGAGAUGGUGGUGUAUUCUUGCGCCCUAGCGUAUCAUCCAUUUUUAAUCGAGUAGAAUCCGAAGAAAAAGAACUUAGCAAAUAUACUGACAAUGGGCUUAGGCCUGAGAAUGAUAUCAAACCAAUUGUAAGCCGGGGGAAAGAGUUCUCUCAGAUGCUUGAGGAAAAGCGUGAAAAUUACGCAUUAAAGAAAGCAGACGGUAAUUCCGACAAACUCUUAGAGAAUGGUAUGAUUGCCUUCCAAGCUGAGACUGCCGAUGGACAGAAAAAGGAGUUUAUGCGUUCUGAUGAUGGGAAUUGUUACAUUGAUGGAAACAGGAUUAUAAAUAGUGAAGAAAUCUAUCAAAAUGAUUGUGGAACGUUGCAAUGUAUUAAUUCUGAAGUCACUUGGUCGUUGAAACCUUUAUCAAAGACUCUUCCUCAUUGCGAAGGAAUAAAAAGCAUACCAUCGGUGUAUGCAUCAUAUACAAAAAUCAAAGUCGUUGAGGAUGAUGAACCACAACUGGCAAUGCCUGGUGAUAAAUCAACUCUAUCUAGACCAGAUAUUGAUGUUGUGGAUCAAAGGAAGAAAAUCCAAGAAGCAUCCAAAAAGAUGGUACAAGCAGAGCUUUGGGAUUGAUUUUCUACGUUACAGUGUACCUAUAUGAAGCAGCAUGUCGUAUUCUCUGGCUCAAAAUAUUCAAGCCUAGUUUGACUUUAGUGUAAACAACCCCCUUCAUUACAGCUCUGUGACAUUCGCACUUUUCUGGCAUAUGCUACUUAACAAUUGCUCGUUAGAAUUCUUAAGUAACAUGCUGAACCAUAAAUAACUUCCUGGGAGAUAACUCGAGCAGUGUUGUUGCCGUCCGAGCAGGACACGCCCACCUCAAAUUUCCCAGAGGGGGUUCAUCAGAUCGAUUUCGAUUUUUGUUCUUGUCAAAGGGCUGCUUAAGAAAGUUGAUUUUCAAAAAAAUAAAAAAAGAUCAAAAAUACUAAAAAAGGCGUUUCCCACGUUUUCUGAGAGUCUAAAGGGAGUGAUUGAGCAUUUCUUUUGACAGCUUCAAAUUUUUCGAGUUAGCGACGCAACUGACUCGAACUCUCUCUCUCCCCUCCCCUCCCCUCCCCUCCCCUUCCAUUCUCUUUCAAUUUCAAAAAUGCCGCAAUAGAUAUUGUCAUAGAAACAUUGCUAAAAAAAGACUAUGUUCUUUUUAAAACAGACUCGCGGAAAACGUGGGAAACGUCUAUGUUUGUUUUUAAAAACCAAAGAUAAUCGUAGACACAGGUUUGUUCUGAUGAUAAUUGUAACCAGACAUAUUCAAUAAUGGUCAUACCUGCCGAUAAUGCGACAUGUUUACUACAUACCUUCCCUGUUUACAUUAAGGCCACUGAGGCAUUUAAGGAAAAUACCGCUUUGCCUCAUAACAGCAACUGGUUUCGAAGAAAUCUAAAAUAUUUAUAACAGCUCUGUAUAAUAAGCAAUUGAUUAAAGAUUCUGUAAAUAGUUUUUUCAGAUUUCAGAUUUUUUCAGAAGGAAAGAAAAUUUUGGAUUCAUUUAAUCAGGCUUUUUUUACAUUCUUGUAAAUAACUUGCUAAUUUUGUAUAUUCAUUUGAACAUUUUUGCGUGUUGAAAGGUUAUGUACAGAUCGACAUAAUUUUAUGAAUUAAACAUUUUGUAUAAAGUUGUAGAAAAUAUUUUGGUGAAAGUUAAGCACAUAUUUUUGAAGAUUCCAUAUUUUGCUUGUAAAAUUCGUCGAAAAUUCUUACAUGUGUAAAUUACAUUUAAAAAUUCUGGUUAAAGAACUGUACUACUUGAAUUUUUACCUAUAGGUUGAUAAUCAGUGGGUUUUUUUAUGAAGUUUAUCAGAAGAGCAAGUGUACUAUUGACCUAAGCAAGUAUUAGCAAAAAGGUAGUUGUUUGACUUGCUAAUGUUAUUUCUACUCUUGAUUUUAGGCUUAAAUAAUAUUUGGUGUUUUCUUUUUAUUCUAUUAAAAUAUUUGAAACUUCAGGGACAUCAGAAAUGAGGGAUACAAAAGAAAUACUCCGAAUUUUAAGGAAUGCUCUCGUUUUCUUAGAUGUGCUGUCUUGAAAAAUUUUGGAAAAGUGUUGCCUUUUUUAAGAAAAAGUGCCAUUUCCCUUUUGUUUCCGUGCAGCUUUAGAGAGCUUUCAAAAUCCCUCUUAAUCUUUACUUUGGCAACCCAAAGCUAUUUGCAGUCAUGUGGUUUUAAGAGAUGCUAAAUUCAAUCUCUCUAUGAAAUGCACCACCUUGACAAUACAUUCACUCUGUUAUAACCUUCUCUUACUCUUUUGUGUUUAUUUAGAUAGACAUGAAUAAGCCACUAUUGUGUAGACAAAAAGAGUUCGUUUUCACCUAAGGACUCCAUUGGUAGCAUUUUCAAAAGGCAAGUGGCUCUGAUUGGACAAUCCAACAGUCAUGUGCUCGUGUUUCUGAUUGGACUUUUUUGAUCAACAACUGGGUAUAUAUAUAUUUCUUAGCGUAGAUAUUUAAAUCUUUGUUAUGACAUUUAUGCUCUGAAGGUUGUCAGAUGAAAAGCUUUACUACUAUGUUUCAAAAUGUUUGCUUUUUUCAAGGCCAUUUACCAAUUCUGUAUGACAUAUCCUUUCCAAAACCUAUUCUACUGCUCUAAAUUUGUUUUCUUAUUAAUACUUAAUAUACUGUUUUUUAGCCAAAUGCUUUUUUCUUGAGCUAUAUGUGUCACUAAGAAACCCUUAAAGGAUGUCAUUCACACAAAAUCAACCCAUUGCUGAGAUGAGAAUGUCUUUCUCAUACCGGCAUACAUGGAGUACUUAUGACAAAUGCAGGUAAGAGUAACAAAUUUAUUACUCACUUAACAUUGUUUAUUGCAACUUUCCAACAUUUUUUAAUUUCCUUUUGCAGACAAGAAUUUCAGCAAAAUCUCAAAAGAAAAAAACCAAUAAAACUUGCUUCACAAGGGAAAUUCUCAGUUUAACCUACAGUGAAAGUAGAGAUGGAUGAAAGUAGAAAUUUAAAACAAUUAUUAUCUAGUAUGGGUCUGCUUAUUGCGAUUCAUAUGAACACGUGCCUAGUAGCUAUCGUUAAAUCUAAUGUGAUUUAUAAGCUCACGAAAGGUGCUGUGAAUGAGCUUAAAGGAGCAAGUACUUUAAGGGAAACAUAUUGUUCUUUCUUCAGGUUGAUAUUUAAUCUUAUGCAAAUUGAAUCUGUUUAAACGUGUCCAACGAUCGCAGAAGAAGAUAAACUUAUUGCAACAAAUGAUGAGGGCUCUUUAAUAAAUAAAGAACUUUCAGUGUAGUUUGGGAAAAAUUAUGGGCUUUGUUUCCAAUGGCAAGUGAAAUCGCUUUAAACAUACGCAGAAAUUCAUAAGAAAAAACAUUACAACAAAGCUCUGAAUUUACUUAAUAGCAAAACUGAACGCACCUGCUACAAAAACGGCGUGAAAGAAACGGUUAGAAUUAAAACUCGUUUACUUUCAUUGGAAGGAGUAUUGCAUUGAAAGGAACAAGGUUUUAUCGAAACAAGAAAUCAGGCUCUGUAUUUUCAGGUGUAAGCGUGGCUAUGAAAUAAAUGAUACUACACUAGCAGCAGGUGAGGAGAGCAAAGACUUGUAUUUAGAUUUCCUGAACCAUUUGCAUAGACGUGCCUAGAUUCGAAAAGAACAUUUUAUUCACUCGAUGUCUUGGCAGUAAACACAAAUCAAGGCUACAGACAUGUCGUACUAUGAGCGAUUCUUUCAAGUUUCAAUAGCUUUUCUUUACCUGUCGCUUAUUUACGACAUCUAUAAAGUGGCAGUUUGGCUGCUUCAUCUUACAGAUGAUAACAACGAAAGCUCUCUAGGCCACAAGAGGCCUAAUUAUUUGCAGCCAAGGCUUUCUAAAGGCAAAACUACUAAACGAAAAUACGUGCAUCUCAUAAGAAGAGAAGGAAGCCGUGCUGUAUCCCUACAUAAGAAAACUGAAUAAAGUUAUAUAAAGACAAGGAUUUUAUAUUUCAAUAUCCAAAUUUUUACAAAGUCUUAUCAAGAACUUUAGUUUUUAGUGUAGCUUCAGACAGGAUGGUUUUAAGUUGAUACAGGCCUUUCAUUUUAAAGUCCAACUUAACAAUUUAAAGUAGUAUAGAAUGUUGCACAUUCUUCUAGAAGACUUACUGCAGUAGCCAAAUUUGAAGUUGUUUCAGAAGAAAAUAGCUUCGUUAAGUUUCAAUUUUGACAAAUAUUUUUACCAUCAAAA